rnacentral:rRNA from 1 species
UACGUAGGGGGCUAGCGUUGUCCGGAUUUAUUGGGCGUAAAGAGCGUGUAGGCGGCCAGAUAGGUCCGUUGUGAAAACUGGAGGCUUAACCUUCAGCCGUCGAUGGAAACCAUCUGGCUAGAGUCCGGAAGAGGAGAGUGGAAUUCCUGGUGUAGCGGUGAAAUGCGCAGAUAUCAGGAAGAACACCCGUGGCGAAGGCGGCUCUCUGGGACGGUACUGACGCUGAGACGCGAAAGCGUGGGGAGCGAACAGG